rnacentral:rRNA from 1 species
AUUAACGCUAGCGGCAGGCAUAAUACAUGCAAGUUGAACGGCAGCACAGGUAGCAAUACCGGGUGGCGAGUGGCGCACGGGUGCGUAACACGUAUGCAACCUACCCUAUACAGGCGAAUAACCUUUAGAAAUGAGGGCUAAUACGCCGUGGUAUUAUCUUGGGGCAUCUUGAGAUGAUUAAAGAUUUAUCGGUAUAGGAUGGGCAUGCGUCCCAUUAGUUAGUUGGUAGGGUAACGGCCUACCAAGGCUAUGAUGGGUAG